rfam:Bacteroides sp. CAG:530 genomic scaffold, scf225
GUAAAAACAAAGGGGUGCCCCUGCGGGCUGAGAUCAUACCCUAUGAACCUGAUGCGGUUAGUACCGACGAAGGGAUUGUAAUUAUAGCUAAC